CCGAGUGAGGGCCCUCUGGGUCCAACCUCCCACCCGUGUCUACCAUACCCUGUUGCUUCGGCGGGCCCGCCCUCAGCGGCCGCCGGGAUGGCCCCUUUGCGCCUCCGGGCCCGCGCCCGCCGAAGACACCCUCGAACUCUGUCUGAAGAUUGUAGUCUGAGUGAAAAUAUAAAUUAUUUA
rnacentral:misc_RNA from 1 species